AUGCACGCUGGCGGCGUGUCUAAUACAUGCAAGUCGAGCGAACAGACGAGGAGCUUGCUCCUCUGACGUUAGCGGCGGACGGGUGAGUAACACGUGGAUAACCUACCUAUAAGACUGGGAUAACUUCGGGAAACCGGAGCUAAUACCGGAUAAUAUAUUGAACCGCAUGGUUCAAUAGUGAAAGACGGUUUUGCUGUCACUUAUAGAUGGAUCCGCGCCGCAUUAGCUAGUUGGUAAGGUAACGGCUUACCAAGGCAACGAUGCGUAGCCGACCUGAGAGGGUGAUCGGCCACACUGGAACUGAGACACGGUCCAGACUCCUACGGGAGGCAGCAGUAGGGAAUCUUCCGCAAUGGGCGAAAGCCUGACGGAGCAACGCCGCGUGAGUGAUGAAGGUCUUCGGAUCGUAAAACUCUGUUAUUAGGGAAGAACAAAUGUGUAAGUAACUAUGCACGUCUUGACGGUACCUAAUCAGAAAGCCACGGCUAACUACGUG
rnacentral:rRNA from 1 species